rnacentral:rRNA from 1 species
AUUGAACGCUGGCGGCAUGCCUUACACAUGCAAGUCGAACGGUAACAGGUCUUCGGAUGCUGACGAGUGGCGAACGGGUGAGUAAUACAUCGGAACGUGCCCGAUCGUGGGGGAUAACGAGGCGAAAGCUUUGCUAAUACCGCAUACGAUCUACGGAUGAAAGCGGGGGAUCUUCGGACCUCGCGCGGACGGAGCGGCCGAUGGCAGUUUAGGUAGUUGGUGGGAUAAAAGCUUACCAAGCCGACGAUCUGUAGCUGGUCUGAGAGGAUGAUCAGCCACACUGGGACUGAGACACGGCCCAGACUCCUACGGGAGGCAGCAGUGGGGAAUUUUGGACAAUGGGCGAAAGCCUGAUCCAGCCAUGCCGCGUGCAGGAUGAAGGCCUUCGGGUUGUAAACUGCUUUUGUACGGAACGAAAAGCCUCUUUCUAAUAAAGAGGGGUCAUGACGGUACCGUAAGAAUAAGCACCGGCUAACUAUGUG